rnacentral:rRNA from 1 species
AUACGUAGGGGGCGAGCGUUGUCCGGAAUGAUUGGGCGUAAAGGGCGUGUAGGCGGCGGUGUAAGUCUGGAGUGAAAGUCCCGCAUUCAAUGUGGGAAUUGCUUUGGAUACUGCAGUGCUAGAGUGCGGAAGAGGUAAGUGGAAUUCCCAGUGUAGCGGUGAAAUGCGUAGAGAUUGGGAGGAACACCAGUGGCGAAGGCGACUUACUGGGCCGUAACUGACGCUGAGGCGCGAAAGUGUGGGGAGCAAACAGGAUUAGAUACCCUGGUAGUCCACACUGUAAACGAUGAAUACUAGGUGUGCGGGGACUGACCCCCUGCGUGCCGGCGUUAACACAAUAAGUAUUCCACCUGGGGAGUACGAUCGCAAGGUUGAAACUUAAAGGAAUUGACGGGG